AUAGAAAAAAUGUCCCGAAUAGGUGCUGCAUCGCCCCCACCGCUUCGCCUCAAUUGGCACCAGCGCAGGCCACCCCGCCGCUCGACCUUGACUCGCACCAGAGGCGACCACCACCAUCCUCGCUGCUCCCUACCCUCCCCCAGCCCGAUAUGGAUGCCUAACCCGCGGGAACGGGCAGGCGGACGGCGGGCGAUGUGAGGCGCGGUGGCGGCACGAGGAAGAUGGGCAGAUCCGGGCACGGCGUUGACCGAUCUGGCGGCUGGUGCGCGGCUUGUUCCGGUCCCAACGACAUCCUGCUCAUCCAUAGAAGGAGAGAGAAGGGCCCGAGGGAGAGAGGAAACAGAUGAAGAAAGGAGAAGGGGCAUACGCAGGGUGAGGGAGGAAGUCGCCGGCGGUGGCGGCUCCGGUGACUGGCCGACGGGCUUGCUAGGCAAGGCUAAGGAGUACGCUAGCCUGAGAUUCGAUAGAGGUGUGUUUGAUUUUUAGAUUUGGGCUGAACAACCAAUUCUUGGGUAGAUUUAUUCGAUGUACUGAUGGAUCAUCCUCUGGAGUGCAUGAAUUGAAUGAAUUUCUGAAUUCUGAGCAGCAUGAAUUGAAUGAAUUUUGCACCACGGGGAAGAAGUUGUGGUGGCGGCGAAUUAUGUAGCCAUUGUCUCUCACGACUGCCGGCCCCUGCUCGCGACAUCUCUACUGAAGCCGCCUCUGCCUACUCUGAGGAGGAGAGCAAUGGAAAUAACACCCCGUCGUGGUCCUGGUGCUUCUCUCCGUGGGUUCGCUUGCUCACCUCGGCGUUUGCGGCUUCUACAGGUACGUACUAGACAACUACCCAUUGUUUUUGUUUUCUAUUGACAGUUUGAUCGCUUCAUCAAUCCUUCUAGAGGGUCUUGACAGGAAGGACUGAGCAGCCAUUGUGCUGGAGUAGACUGUGUGACAGGUUUUUUCCUCUCUCUCCUACCCGUGAUUGGUUUCUUUGGUGAAGAAAGCAUCACUGUCUUUCAAUACAUCAUGGAUGCUCAACCUGUAUGUCUACAUGGUACAAGAAUGAAGAUUAACCAUUCAAUCUAUUGAUUCAGAGUGAGACAAGGGUGAAACAGAAUAAGCUCAUUUUUGUGAUGAGUUCCCUAGGCCCCAGAAGGCCAGAACUAGCAUUUUAAUUACAAAAUUCAGUUUUUGAUCACGUUAUUUCAGUUUCAUUAUAGACCUUAUAAUAUUUUUUAUGGAUUAAUAUAAGGUUUAUAAUAUUUUGUGGAGCAAUCAGUUGUGCAUAGAAAAGAGCUCACCUAAAUUAAUGACAUGUUCAUCUUAUCUUCGAUUAAAAAAAUUUGCCCCCUAAUAUUCAGUUCUACUGAGAGUUGUAGAAGGCAAAAAUCCAGCAAAUUAACUCAAGUAAGUGUUUUUGUUAUUUCCCAAUGUAAUUAAAAAUUUUCUUCUCAAAAUACGACAUGGUCAUUGUCGGAAAAGAAUAUUUAGCAUGAAUGUAGGUGCUUUCAUAUGAAGCUGGACAUGUUUACAAUGAUCGACCGGAUACCGUUACACGUGUCCUGAAUAUGAAGUUUAAUGAUUUCUGAGAAGAUGUUAAAAGUGGACAUUUGUUUCGUACAAUUCAAGCAUGUAAGUUAUUUACAUACUGAUUUUAUCCUGCUUUGUUUUAAUCUUUUCAUUUAUAUAAUCUAACUUUGUCCAUCUAUUUCUCUUCCUCUAUUUUGCGGUUAUCCAAGUUUAUACAUGAUGGAGUUCCAGAAUAGAGGCUUGCCUCAUACUCAUACUUCAAUUCGGCUUAUAUGGAACAAUCAUGAGCCUUCGGCCUCCUUCAUAGAUGGUUUGAUUUCGGCUGAGAUACCUGAUCGUUUGGUUGAGCCCUGGGUUAUGCUCUUAUGGAUUAAUUUAUGGUUCACGGUCCAUGUGGAGACUACAAAGUAAAGUGUGCAUGUAUGAAAGAUGGAUUGUGUUCCAAAAGAUUUCCCAAAGAUUUUAAUGAGCAGACGUCGGUUGAUGAUAGAGGCUUUCCUAUAUAUCAUAGACGUGAUUUGGGUUACUAUGUGAGGAACAAGGGUACUGUUAAGCUGGAUAAUCGAUGGGUAGUUUUCAUAUAAUAGUUUUGGUAAUGUAAUUAUUAAUGUAUUUUUCUUCUUGCGAAGCGUACUGGCAUAUGUUUGCUUUCAAUAUACAUGGUCGUGAGCCUGCAGUGGAGA